GACGAACGCUGGCGGCGUGCUUAACACAUGCAAGUCGAACGAAGUGGCGAACGGGUGAGUAACGCGUAAUCAACCUGCCCUUCUGAGGGGGACAACAGUUGGAAACGACUGCUAAUACCCCAUACUGAAGGUGGGGCUUGCGUCGGAUUAGCUGGUUGGGGGGGUAACGGCCUACCAAGGCGAUGAUCAGUAGCCGGUCUGAGAAGAUGAACGGCCCCAUUGGGACUGGGACACGGCCCAGACUCCUACCGGAGGCAGCAGGGGGGAAUCUUCCGGAAUGGACGAAAGUCUGGCGGAGCAACGCCGCGUGAGUGAGAACGGCCUUCGGGUUGUAAAGCUCUGUUAAUCGGGACGCGGUACCGGAAUAGAAAGCCACGGCUAACUACGUGCCAGCAGCCGCGGUAAUUC
rnacentral:rRNA from 1 species